rnacentral:rRNA from 1 species
AUGGUAUGGACGACGAUGCCAGAGAAGAACAGGAACCAUCGCCCACAGGGCGCUGGACAGCCACCUCCUCAUACAAUAUAUAUAUACAUGGUGGAUACACCCAAGGAAGACAAUGGCGAUGACAAAAAAGAUCCAGUUGAGGAUAAACUUCCUGAGAAACAGUCUAAGCGCCAACGUCAGCGGCGCCACUCCAAAUCACGCCAUGGUAAAAACAGCGAUACCGGCACAAGAGAGAAUAGCACUCCGAAUGAUGCCGAAGACAACGAAGACCCCACCAAGCCAAGUUUCGAACAGGCUGAAUGGGAAGACGGGUGA